rnacentral:rRNA from 1 species
AUUGAACGCUGGCGGCAUGCCUUACACAUGCAAGUCGAACGGCAGCACGGGGCAACCUGGUGGCGAGUGGCGAACGGGUGAGUAAUACAUCGGAACGUACCUUUCAGUGGGGGAUAACGUAGCGAAAGUUACGCUAAUACCGCAUAUUCUGUGAGCAGGAGAGCAGGGGAUCGCAAGACCUUGCGCUGAUUGAGCGGCCGAUGUCAGAUUAGCUAGUUGGUGAGGUAAAGGCUCACCAAGGCGACGAUCUGUAGCGGGUCUGAGAGGAUGAUCUACCACACUGGAACUGAGACACGGUCCAGACUCCUACGGGAGGCAGCAGUGGGGAAUUUUGGACAAUGGGGGCAACCCUGAUCCAGCCAUGCCGCGUGAGUGAAGAAGGCCUUCGGGUUGUAAAGCUCUUUCGGCCGGGAAGAAAUCGCACGGGCUAAUACCCUGUGUGGAUGACGGUACCGGAAUAAGAAGCACCGGCUAACUACGUGCCAGCCGCCGCAGUAACAC